CGAGUCACCCGAGGCACUACACGAGUAGUGCCUCCCACCCUUCCACCUCCUCUAACCUAAUAAUAAGACCAAUUGUGACUAGCGGAUACCAUGCCCUAUGAGGGUUUUGGUUACUGUCAAUUUUGAUAGGAUCCCAGCUGAUGUAAUGUGGAACAAGUCAUACCUCAGAGUGAAAUCUGCCUGGUAGAUGGUACAGGAUACAUACAUCGCCAGCGAGGCCAGCAGUUAAUGCCUCUUCCCAAUUGUCUUUGAGUAUUUUGAUGGCCUACACAAAUGUGCACAGUCCAUGUGAUGAAGAUACUUCGAUGGAGAGCUUUUGGAUCUUGAACUAGGAAUGAUGAAGGAACAGUGAUAUGUUUCCAAGAUGGGUGGCGUAUGACUUAAUAUUGCAGUGAUUACACUCUUUUAACUGAGAUAGUCACUGUCCAGCACUUCUGUGUCAUGUCUGUUAUUUACCCCACACUUGAAUGUUCUUCACAUUUUGCUGU